rnacentral:tRNA from 1 species
GCCAGUGUGGCAUAGUGGUGUGAGUGUUCGACUAGAAUCUGGAGACCAGGGUUCAAUUCCCGCUUGGCCA